GAUGAACGCUGGCGGCGUGCCUAAUACAUGCAAGUCGAGCGAACAGAUGAGAAGCUUGCUUCUCUGAUGUUAGCGGCGGACGGGUGAGUAACACGUGGGUAACCUACCUAUAAGACUGGGAUAACUCCGGGAAACCGGGGCUAAUACCGGAUAAUACUUUGAACCGCAUGGUUCAAUAGUGAAAGACGGUUUCGGCUGUCACUUAUAGAUGGACCCGCGCCGUAUUAGCUAGUUGGUAAGGUAACGGCUUACCAAGGCGACGAUACGUAGCCGACCUGAGAGGGUGAUCGGCCACACUGGAACUGAGACACGGUCCAGACUCCUACGGGAGGCAGCAGUAGGGAAUCUUCCGCAAUGGGCGAAAGCCUGACGGAGCAACGCCGCGUGAGUGAUGAAGGUCUUCGGAUCGUAAAACUCUGUUGUUAGGGAAGAACAAAUUUGUUAGUAACUGAACAAGUCUUGACGGUACCUAACCAGAAAGCCACGGCUAACUACGUGCCAGCAGCCGCGGUAAUACGUAGGUGGCAAGCGUUAUCCGGAAUUAUUGGGCGUAAAGCGCGCGUAGGCGGUUUCUUAAGUCUGAUGUGAAAGCCCACGGCUCAACCGUGGAGGGUAAUUGGAAACUGGGAAACUUGAGUGCAGAAGAGGAGAGUGGAAUUCCAUGUGUAGCGGUGAAAUGCGCAGAGAUAUGGAGGAACACCAGUGGCGAAGGCGGCUCUCUGGUCUGUAACUGACGCUGAUGUGCGAAAGCGUGGGGAUCAAACAGGAUUAGAUACCCUGGUAGUCCACGCCGUAAACGAUGAGUGCUAAGUGUUAGGGGGUUUCCGCCCCUUAGUGCUGCAGCUAACGCAUUAAGCACUCCGCCUGGGGAGUACGACCGCAAGGUUGAAACUCAAAGGAAUUGACGGGGACCCGCACAAGCGGUGGAGCAUGUGGUUUAAUUCGAAGCAACGCGAAGAACCUUACCAAAUCUUGACAUCCUUUGACCGCUCUAGAGAUAGAGUCUUCCCCUUCGGGGGACAAAGUGACAGGUGGUGCAUGGUUGUCGUCAGCUCGUGUCGUGAGAUGUUGGGUUAAGUCCCGCAACGAGCGCAACCCUUAAGCUUAGUUGCCAUCAUUAAGUUGGGCACUCUAGAUUGACUGCCGGUGACAAACCGGAGGAAGGUGGGGAUGACGUCAAAUCAUCAUGCCCCUUAUGAUUUGGGCUACACACGUGCUACAAUGGAUAAUACAAAGGGCAGCGAAUCCGCGAGGCCAAGCAAAUCCCAUAAAAUUAUUCUCAGUUCGGAUUGUAGUCUGCAACUCGACUACAUGAAGCUGGAAUCGCUAGUAAUCGUAGAUCAGCAUGCUACGGUGAAUACGUUCCCGGGUCU
rnacentral:rRNA from 1 species